UACGAAGGGGGCUAGCGUUGUUCGGAAUUAUUGGGCGUAAAGCGCACGUAGGCGGAUAUUUAAGUCAGUGGUGAAAUCCCAGAGCUCAACUCUGGAACUGCCUUUGAUACUGGGUAUCUCGAGUAUGGAAGAGGUGAGUGGAAUUCCGAGUGUAGAGGUGAAAUUCGUAGAUAUUCGGAGGAACACCAGUGGCGAAGGCGGCUCACUGGUCCAUUACUGACGCUGAGGUGCGAAAGCGUGGGGAGCAAACAGG
rnacentral:rRNA from 1 species